rnacentral:snoRNA from 1 species
CCCCGAUGAGGAAAGCAGAUCCUGUCUUACUGUCUGUCCUAGGACCAGAACCUGAGAAGGUUGAACCCACUGGUUCUGGCAGAGGGAGAGGAGGAGACUUGUUCCAUUGAGAACUGUCUGAGGGGG